CCCUGCCUGGCAAGAUAGCAGGCUGCUAACAUGGGGUGCCCGUGUCCAGGUCAUUGAUAGCGCAGGGAAAGGAUUUGCUGAAAGUGUUUCCCAUGUUUGGAGGAUCCCUUCCUGUCCCUUCCAAACCUGGAGCAUUCCCGCA